CCAAUAGCGUAUAUUAAAGUUGUUGCAGUUAAAAAGCUCGUAGUUGAAUUUCGGGAUUGGCGCAUCGGUCGUGCCUUAAGGGGCAUGAACUGGUGUAGCCAAUUUCUCACCUUCUGGAGAACCGCGAUGUCCUUAAUUGGGUGCCGCGAGGAACCAGGACCUUUACUUUGAAAAAAUUAGAGUGUUUAAAGCAGGCAUUUUGCUUGAAUACAUUAGCAUGGAAUAAUAAAAUAGGACGGAUGAUUCUAUUUUGUUGGUUUCUAGGACCACCGUAAUGAUUAAUAGGGAUAGUUGGGGGCAUUAGUAUUCAAUUGUCAGAGGUGAAAUUCUUGGAUUUAUUGAAGACUAACUACUGCGAAAGCAUUUGCCAAGGAUGUUUUCAUUAAUCAAGAACGAAAGUUAGGGGAUCGAAGACGAUCAGAUACCGUCGUAGUCUUAACCAUAAACUAUGCCGACUAGGAAUCAGACGAUGUUAAUUUUUUAAUGACUCGUUUGGCACCUUACG
rnacentral:rRNA from 1 species